rnacentral:misc_RNA from 1 species
AACGCACAUUGCGCCCAUUAGUAUUCUAGUGGGCAUGCCUGUUCGAGCGUCAUUUCAACCCUUAAGCCCUUGUUGCUUAGCGUUGGGAGCCUACGGAAGCGUAGCUCCCUAAAGUUAGUGGCGUGGUCGGUUCACACUCCAGACGUAGUAGAUUUUCACCUCGCCUGUAGCUGGACCGGUCCCCUGCCGUAAAACACCCCAAUUUUUAAAGGUUGACCUCGGAUCAGGUAGGAAUACCCGCUGAACUUAA